rnacentral:lncRNA from 1 species
UCUCCCUCCCAUUUCUCUAUUUUCUAAUUUUAAGAUCAUUGUUUAUGGGUUUGAUAUGCUGAUUCGAUAGCUGGUACUUGAUUUUUCUUAUUUUUGAAGAGAUGAUAGUUAUGGGAUGGUCGAAUAUAUUUCCUUCUUUUAUCCUAGCUAAUUUGAUUUAUUCAUCCUAGUAUUUAUCUAUUUAUUUAUAAUAUUUUUGGGAUGGAAAAUCUAUUUUAUCAUUUUGGAAGAUGCUUAUUACCUUUUGAUGCUUGUUUGCUUAUCAGUUUACUGUGCUAGUGAUAGAUUGCCAACUAGCUUCCAUGUAUUCUAGUUUUCAAAUUAACAAAAUAGGAAAAAAAAAAGAA